CAGCCUUUCACAGGGCUGUCGUGGGGAAGUGAGGAUAGAUGACGUUCCAGUGUGUGCUAGUAACUGGGAUCUAUCCUAUGCACACAAAGUUUGCCAAGAAAACCUUUGUGGCAAUGCUGUCUUCAUUGAAUCCAAAGCUCCAUCAAAGGGUUCAGGUAACAUUUACCAUGUCAGCUGUGAAAAGUACCAUUCCAUCAUUGGCCAGUGCAGGAGGACUAAAGGAAAGUGUGACAAAAAUGUGGUGUUCAUUACUUGUAGUGAAAGUGUAAAGUUCCGCACGACUGAAAAACAUGGAGGUGUCCUUUAUGUCAAUUAUCGAGAUAAGUGGGAAAGAGUAUGUCCAUUUAAUCAUUCCCAAAACUUAAAGCUCUGUGAAGAGAUUGAUAAAGAGACCCCUAGCACCUCUACGGAAAUCAAACAGGUCAACUUAGAAACAACACUGGAGUUCACUGAUGUUACCAUGGAUGUCAGGCGCUCUGUCAAAAGAAGUUCCUGUGAAAGCACUAAUCAAGUUAAAAUAUAUUGUCCCGACUAUGAAACACUGACUACCGCAACACCAACCCCACCACGUCCGCCUAUACCCACAGGACCUAUUAUCGUGGGUGUGAUAUUUCUUCUUGUUGUAGUGAUCUUGAUUUCUUCAUUUAUACGAAUGUAUGUCAGGAGAGUCAGGGAGUCCAGAGCUUUAGCAAGAAUGCUGCCAGGGAAAGACAUGGAGUUUGAAAGUGGAGAUUAUGAGGACGUCAUGGACAAAGACAAUGAGAUGGAAGACUUCAGUCGUGGCAGAUUCAGAUCUGAGACUGAAUUUGUCUCAGAAAAUGAUGGGCGGAGUGUUUCCUCUUUACCUUAUGAUGAUAUUGAUGAAGCAGAUGAGGCUCGACCCCUGACCUUUCCGGCCACUACUGCUCCUGCUGCCCAAGACAUCAACGUUCAUGAAGACGGGGUAACCUACGAAGUGGAAGAUCCACAGGAGAGUUAUGAUGACAUUGAUACAAUCCCUGAAACUGCACAGACUACAGCAGAGAUCCACGACAGCCCUGAAACACCACAUGACUUAAACACAGCAGCCCCAGGAUUGGUGAAGAGGGAUGAGGACUACCUAGAGCCAGAUCAAGACAAACUGUGAUGCCAUUUCCACUACAGUUAGAGAGAAAGAGAAAAG